UCUCUGCACCGAACCGAGGCGAUGCAAUUCUCUUUGGUUAUCUAGCUGUAUGAGUGGUCAUCUACGCAUCAUAAAGCUAGGUUACCAAAGAUAAGUGUAGUCUGCCGCGAACAUCUGGGAGAC
rnacentral:precursor_RNA from 8 species